CCUACGGGAGGCUGCAGUGGGGAAUAUUGCACAAUGGGGGAAACCCUGAUGCAGCAACGCCGCGUGAAGGAAGACGGUUUCGGAUUGUAAACGUCUGUUCUUAGGGAAGAAGAAUGACGGUAGCUAAGGAGCAAGCCACGGCUAACUACGGGCCAGCAGCCGCGGUAAUACGUAGGUGGCAAGCGUUGUCCGGAAUGACUGGGUGUAAAGGGAGCGCAGGCGGGAAGCCAAGUCAGCUGUGAAAACUACGGGCUUAACUUGUAGACUGCAGUUGAAACGGGUUUUCUUGAGGGAAGUAGAGGUUGGCGGACUUCCGUGUGUAGCGGUGAAAUUCGUAGCUCUUCGGAGGAACCCCGGUGGCGAAGGCGGCCCACUGGGCUUUACCUGACGCUGAGGCUC
rnacentral:rRNA from 1 species